rnacentral:rRNA from 1 species
AGGACGAACGCUGGCGGCGUGCCUAAUACAUGCAAGUCGAGCGGAAAUUUAUUGGUGCUUGCACCUUAAAUUUAGCGGCGGACGGGUGAGUAACACGUGGGUAACCUACCUUAUAGAUUGGGAUAACUCCGGGAAACCGGGGCUAAUACCGAAUAAUACUUUUUUAACACAUGUUUUGAAGUUGAAAGACGGUUUCGGCUGUCACUAUAAGAUGGACCCGCGGCGCAUUAGCUAGUUGGUGAGGUAACGGCUCACCAAGGCAACGAUGCGUAGCCGACCUGAGAGGGUGAUCGGCCACACUGGGACUGAGACACGGCCCAGACUCCUACGGGAGGCAGCAGUAGGGAAUCUUCCACGAUGGACGAAAGUCUGAUGGAGCAACGCCGCGUGAGUGAAGAAGGAUUUCGGUUCGUAAAACUCUGUUGCAAGGGAAGAACAAGUAGCGUAGUAACUGGCGCUACCUUGACGGUACCUUGUUAGAAAGCCACGGCUAACUACGUGCCAGCCGCAGC